UACGUAGGGGGCUAGCGUUGUCCGGAUUUACUGGGCGUAAAGCGCGUGUAGGCGGUUGCCCAAGUCGGGUGUGAAAGCCUUGAGCUCAACUCAAGAAAUGCACUCGGUACUGGGUGACUAGAGGACCGGAGAGGAUAGUGGAAUUCCCAGUGUAGUGGUGAAAUACGUAGAGAUUGGGAAGAACACCAGUGGCGAAGGCGGCUAUCUGGACGGUUUCUGACGCUAAGACGCGAAAGCGUGGGGAGCAAACAGG
rnacentral:rRNA from 1 species